rnacentral:rRNA from 1 species
CGGCGAACGGGUGAGUAACACGUGGGUAAUUUGCCCUCGGUUCUGGGAUAGCCCGGGGAAACCCGGAUUAAUACCGGAUAGCCUCUCGAGCUCUCGGGCUCGAACGGAAAGGUAGCUUCGGCCUCCGACCGAGGAGAAGCCCGCGGCGGAUUAGCUUGUUGGUGGGGUAAUGGCCCACCAAGGCGACGAUCCGUAGCUGGUCUGAGAGGACGAUCAGCCACACUGGGACUGAGACACGGCCCAG